rnacentral:rRNA from 1 species
UACGUAGGCAGCGAGCGUUGUUCGGAGUUACUGGGCGUAAAGGGUGUGUAGGCGGUUGUUUAAGUUUGGUGUGAAAUCUCCCGGCUCAACUGGGAGGGUGCGCCGAAUACUGAAUGACUAGAGUGCGGGAGAGGAAAGUGGAAUUCCUGGUGUAGCGGUGAAAUGCGCAGAUAUCAGGAGGAACACCAAUGGCGAAGGCAGCACUCUGGGACGGUACUGACGCUGAGACGCGAAACGUGGGGGAGCAAACAGG